rnacentral:rRNA from 2 species
GUAGUCAUAUGCUUGUCUCAAAGAUUAAGCCAUGCAUGUCUAAGUAUAAGCAACUAUACGGUGAAACUGCGAAUGGCUCAUUAAAUCAGUUAUCGUUUAUUUGAUAGUACCUUACUACAUGGAUAACCGUGGUAAUUCUAGAGCUAAUACAUGCUAAAAACCCUCGACUUCGGAAGGGGUGUAUUUAUUAGAUAAAAAACCCAAUGCCCUUCGGGGCUCCUUGGUGAAUCAUAAUAACUUAACGAAUCGCAUGGCCUUGCGCCGGCGAUGGUUCAUUCAAAUUUCUGCCCUAUCAACUUUCGAUGGUAGGAUAGUGGCCUACCAUGGUAUCAACGGGUAACGGGGAAUUAGGGUUCGACUCCGGAGAGGGAGCCUGAGAAACGGCUACCACAUCCAAGGAAGGCAGCAGGCGCGCAAAUUACCCAAUCCCGACACGGGGAGGUAGUGACAAUAAAUACUGAUACAGGGCUCUUUUGGGUCUUGUAAUUGGAAUGAGUACAAUUUAAAUCCCUUAACGAGGAACAAUUGGAGGGCAAGCCUGGUGCCAGCAGCCGCGGUAAUUCCAGCUCCAAUAGCGUAUAUUAAAGUUGUUGCAGUUAAAAAGCUCGUAGUUGAACCUUGGGCCUGGCUGGCCGGUCCGCCUCACCGCGUGUACUGUCCGGCCGGGCCUUUCCUUCUGGGGAACCUCAUGCCCUUCACUGGGCAUGUUGGGGAACCAGACUUUUACUUGAAAAAAUUAGAGUGUUCAAAGCAGCCUUGCUCGAUACAUUAGCAUGGAAUAAUAGAAUAGGACGUGGGUUCUAUUUUGUUGGUUUCUAGGACCGCCGUAAUGAUUAAUAGGGAUAGUCGGGGGCAUCAGUAUUCAAUCGUCAGAGGUGAAAUUCUUGGAUUGAUUGAAGACUAACUACUGCGAAAGCAUUUGCCAAGGAUGUUUUCAUUAAUCAGUGAACGAAAGUUAGGGGAUCGAAGACGAUCAGAUACCGUCGUAGUCUUAACCAUAAACUAUGCCGACUAGGGAUC